CCCUCAACCAGGACCAGUUUGCCAUGGGUGGCCCUACCACGGGGCAAAUAGCCCCCUCACAAUUUAGCCUCUGGGAUACCUGGGACAUACAAACCCCUCCACCACGAUAAGCUGGUGGGGCGGGGAGCCAUCAGGGUGCAUAAGGGCUAACGGACAUGCAAACCGCAUUGAGAAGUUAAAGCCCAUGUUUGUUGAACCUACAGAGAAGGGCACCUUUAAUGAAGUCAUUGAUGGUUAUUACACCAAAGUCAAUGAUCCCCGAUCCAAAGGAGGAGCCUUCUUUGGUGUGUGUCGAGGGAAGGUGAGGAGGCUGUCCAUGGACUCUGCAAAAGUCCUACAAUGUUUUCUGUUGUCAUGUUUCAG